UACGGAGGGGGCUAGCGUUGUUCGGAAUUACUGGGCGUAAAGCGCGCGUAGGCGGUUCUUCAAGUCAGAGGUGAAAGCCCGGUGCUCAACACCGGAAUUGCCUUUGAAACUAGGGAACUUGAAUCCAGGAGAGGUGAGUGGAAUUCCGAGUGUAGAGGUGAAAUUCGUAGAUAUUCGGAAGAACACCAGUGGCGAAGGCGGCUCACUGGACUGGUACUGACGCUGAGGUGCGAAAGCGUGGGGAGCAAACAGG
rnacentral:rRNA from 1 species